UACGAAGGGGGCGAGCGUUGUUCGGAUUUACUGGGCGUAAAGGGCGCGUAGGCGGCGCAAGAAGUCAGGCGUGAAAGCCCCGGGCUCAACCUGGGAAUGGCGCUUGGGACUCUUGGGCUUGAGUUCGGGAGAGGAGAGUGGAAUUCCCAGUGUAGAGGUGAAAUUCGUAGAUAUUGGGAAGAACACCGGUGGCGAAGGCGGCUCUCUGGACCGAGACUGACGCUGAGGCGCGAAAGCUAGGGGAGCAAACAGG
rnacentral:rRNA from 1 species